GCCUGGAUAGCUCAGCUGGUAGAGCAAUGGAUUGAAAAUCCAUGUGUCGGUGGUUCGAACCCGCCUCCAGGCACCA
rnacentral:tRNA from 2 species